rnacentral:RNase_P_RNA from 1 species
GCAGUGGGCAGGGCGGUCGCUGGUGGAUUCGCUUUAUGCGCAAUCCACCAGAGGAAAGUCCGGGCUCCACAGGGCAGUGCGCUGGGUAACACCCAGUCCCCGUGAGGGGAGGAAAGUGCCACAGAAAACAGACCGCCAUGCAGUUAAGCCUCAGCCAUAAAAGCUAUUGCAGUGCCCUUGGCUGAAGGCGUUCCUGCAUGGCAAGGGUGAAAAGGUGGGGUAAGAGCCCACCAGCAGCGCCGUGAGGCGCUGGCUUGGCAAACCCCGCACGGAGCAAGACCAAAUAGGGGGCGCUAUCAGGUUGCCCGCCGAUGCCCCCGGGUAGGUCGCUUAGAGAAAUGACCGCCACCAUCGGUGGGACAGAACCCGGCUUACAUGCCCACUGCUCGC